rnacentral:rRNA from 1 species
AUUGAACGCUGGCGGCAGGCCUAACACAUGCAAGUCGAACGAGUGGCGGACGGGUGAGUAAUGUCUGGGAAACUGCCCGAGGGAGGGGGAGAACAACUGGAAACGGUAGCUAAUAACGCAUACCAUCGGAUGUGCCCAGAUGGGAUUAGCUAGUAGGUGGGGUAAAGGCUCACCUAGGCGACGAUCCCUAGCUGGUCUGAGAGGAUGACCAGCCACACUGGCACUGAGACACGGUCCAGACUCCUACGGGAGUCAGCAGUGGGGAAUAUUGCACAAUGGGCGCAAGCCUUAUGCAGCCAUGCCGCGUGUAUGAAGAAGGCCUUCGGGUUGUAAAGUACUUUCAGCGAGGAGGCGUUACCCGCAGAAGAAGCACCGGCUAACUCCGUGCCAGCAGCCGCGGUAAUUC